UUGCAUCCGAAAAUUUGUUUAUUGCAAUAUCUAUUUUCAGAACUUUCAUUUUUUGUUUAAAUAAAAAUAAAUUAAUUUAAAUAAUAACAUAUUUAUAUGUAUUUACAGCAGUUGGUUGCCACUCCGUAGUAAAAGACUUUUUCUUUUUUUUUUUUUUACACAAAAGCAAUCGUUAUAACAACAAAACUCACCAAAUAUUGAUAAAUAAAUUUUUAAAAAAUUACUACGGAAGACAUUAGACAUAAUACAUAUUGAGACUGAAUACGUCCAUAGCAAGUCGUCCAUUUCAUUGUUGAUUGUAUUUUUGUUUUUUUUUAAUUUUUGAUACUGAAGAGCCGAGUAUGUGUGUGUAUGUUUGUGUGUGUAUGUUUGUGUGUGUUUGUUACGUAUGAAACAUUGACACCCUACACAUUUACUGUUGGCCAAAUAAACAGAAACAAGCUUUGACGUCGUCUGCCCCUGUAAAUCGCAAGGUCUGAAUGGGAAACUUUACUUGACUUGCAAAACUUUGAGUAACAAUUUAGUUUAUAUGAAAAGAUCCGGAUGUUACUUCAGACUUAAAGAUGGUUAUAUCCUAGACCAAAACUCCCGAGGACAGGAUUGAGGGGAUAGUGACGAGCAGAAUUCGAACACAGAACCAUUGAGACGACAGUCCAGAGCGCAGGCAGCCAGCUUUCAAAAUGUAUUAAAAAUUUAAAUUAUAUGUAGAGCUUUAAAAUUAGUCUGUAAUGUGUGACAAAUUGGUGGAAAAUUUUGUAAUACUUUUGUAGUGCACAGGUUCAUAAGGACCAUCGAGACGACAGCCCAGAACACAGACAGCCAGAGUUUUUAAAGAAAUUUAAAUUAUAUCUGAAGUUCUAAAUUUUUUCUGUAGUGACAAACUGGUGAAAUAUUUUGUAAUACUUUUGUAGCGCAUAUGUUCAAUAGCCAAGAAUAAAAUGGAUAUAAUAUAAUUGGUCUAUACAGGAAGUUUGUAUAUAAGUUAAGGAAAGUAAAAAGGCUGUUCAGAGCUCGAUAAAGGAAAGUCAUGUUAAUACACAACUCCUUCCCAAAACAAUCAAAUAAUAAUAAUUAAUGAAUUGUUUAGAUUUGUUCAUUAGUUAAGCCGAGCGUAUAGUACCAAGCUCCUUUGGCACGAUGUUUGUAUUAGUAAAGUUGACCCCCCCCCCCCUUUGUUCUCGCGGGAAAGGAGCGCACAUUAAUUGUAAUUAUACUGCUUAUUUUAUCGAUACGCGUCUGAACGCAAAUAGCUCCUCUGAAGAAACACUCAAAACACUCAAAUUUGUCAAGACUUGAUGAUAUAAUAUUGUUUGAAUUGAGAAGCCGAAGAAAAGUCAUAGAGUGUACGACGGACUAAUUUUUUGUUGUAGGCGGGGGAGUGGGGGAAGCGGAUUAAUACAAGUGAUACUAGAAUUAACGGGCCCAAAAUAUAAAUACAUGCAUGUGUCGGGGUCGCAUUAUGAAGCGGGUCUUUCCAAAUCAAGUCAAAAGCCUAUGUUGGAGAACAGGGCCAGACUUAACCUAUGCGGUCGCAGUGGGCCCAGCACUUUCAUAGAAAUCUUCUGAAAUUAAAAAUCUCCUGAAAACUCAUACAAAUCUCCAGAAAAAUAGAAAAAAUUAGGGUGCCAAUCCUAAGCGAUAAAAAAACCCAGCAUUGUCAGCUUUCAUAUAAUAAAAUUUUAUUAUAAACUCAUACAAAUCUCCAAAAAAAUAGACAAAAUUCGGGUGCCAAUCCUACGCGCGAUAAAAAAAAAAAAACAGCAUUGUCAGCUUUCAUUUAAUACAAUUUUAUUAUAAAGACGAAUGUAUUUCCUAAUACAAAAUCUUAAUAUUGACAAUAGGCUUAUCACUACCCAGACUAGGGCCUACGCAAUCCGUUUCGCAUAAGGCUCCGCAAUGGCUAGGACCGGCCCUGUCGGAGAAAUUACGAUGCGAAAGGUUAAAAUUAAAAAAAUGGGUUCCUGAAAGCGAACACGAUAUAAAUUUAUAUAUAUAUAUAUAUAU